CAGUUACAUUCUUGGCACGUCCCCUGCUUAGUUUCUAGGCAGACAUCAAGCGCAGCCUUCAACGGCGAACGGCAGCGCUCCCCCGACAGGCCUAUGCAGGCCGAUAACGGGACCGGACAAAGGCGUCCUCGCAUUCAUGUGCGGGACGCC
rnacentral:sRNA from 1 species